CCUACGGGGGGCAGCAGUGGGGAAUAUUGGACAAUGGGGGGAACCCUGAUCCAGCCAUGCCGCGUGUGUGAAGAAGGCCCUCGGGUUGUAAAGCACUUUCAGUGAGGAAGAACGCCUGGUGGUUAAUACCCAUCAGGAAAGACAUCACUCACAGAAGAAGCACCGGCUAACUCCGUGCCAGCAGCCGCGGUAAUACGGAGGGUGCGAGCGUUAAUCGGAAUUACUGGGCGUAAAGCGCGCGUAGGUGGCUUGAUAAGCCGGUUGUGAAAGCCCCGGGCUCAACCUGGGAACGGCAUCCGGAACUGUCAAGCUAGAGUGCAGGAGAGGAAGGUAGAAUUCCCGGUGUAGCGGUGAAAUGCGUAGAGAUCGGGAGGAAUACCGGUGGCGAAGGCGGCCUUCUGGACUGACACUGACACUGAGGUGCGAAAGCGUGGGUAGCAAACAGGAUUAGAUACCCUUGUAGUC
rnacentral:rRNA from 1 species